rnacentral:rRNA from 1 species
AUUGAACGCUGGCGGCAGGCCUAACACAUGCAAGUCGAACGGUAGCACAGAGGAGCUUGCUCCUCGGGUGACGAGUGGCGGACGGGUGAGUAAUGUCUGGGGAUCUGCCGGAUAGAGGGGGAUAACCACUGGAAACGGUGGCUAAUACCGCAUUACGUCGCAAGACCAAAGAGGGGGACCUUCGGGCCUCUCACUAUCGGAUGAACCCAGAUGGGAUUAGCUAGUAGGCGGGGUAACGGCCCACCUAGGCGACGAUCCCUAGCUGGUCUGCGAGGAUGACCAGCCACACUGGAACUGAGACACGGUCCAGACUCCUACGGGAGGCAGCAGUGGGGAAUAUUGCACAAUGGGCGCAAGCCUGAUGCAGCCAUGCCGCGUGUAUGAAGAAGGCCUUCGGGUUGUAAAGUACUUUCAGCGGGGAGGAAGGCGAUGUGGUUAAUAACCGCAUUGAUUGACGUUACCCGCAGAAGAAGCACCGGCUAACUCCGUGCCAGCAGCCGCCGUAA